GAACGCUGGCGGCAGGCCUAACACAUGCAAGUCGAGCGGUAACAGGGGUAGCUUGCUACCCGCUGACGAGCGGCGGACGGGUGAGUAAUGCAUAGGAAUCUGCCCGGUAGUGGGGGAUAACCUGGGGAAACCCAGGCUAAUACCGCAUACGUCCUACGGGAGAAAGGGGGCUUCGGCUCCCGCUAUUGGAUGAGCCUAUGUCGGAUUAGCUAGUUGGUGAGGUAAAGGCUCACCAAGGCAACGAUCCGUAGCUGGUCUGAGAGGAUGAUCAGCCACAUCGGGACUGAGACACGGCCCGAACUCCUACGGGAGGCAGCAGUGGGGAAUAUUGGACAAUGGGGGCAACCCUGAUCCAGCCAUGCCGCGUGUGUGAAGAAGGCCCUCGGGUUGUAAAGCACUUUCAGCGAGGAAGAACGCCUGCCGGUUAAUACCCGNNAGGAAAGACAUCACUCGCAGAAGAAGCACCGGCUAACUCCGUGCCAGCAGCCGCGGUAAUACGGAGGGUGCAAGCGUUAAUCGGAAUUACUGGGCGUAAAGCGCGCGUAGGUGGCUUGAUAAGCCGGUUGUGAAAGCCCCGGGCUCAACCUGGGAACGGCAUCC
rnacentral:rRNA from 1 species